rnacentral:rRNA from 1 species
AAACCGCUUAGGGGUUAAGCCCGAUGAACCUGAAUAUCUGAUGUGAGAAAUUCAAUACUGUAUAUUGUUGGCCUCGGCUCAGCUUAUAUGGUAUGCACUUUUCUCAUAGUAAGACAUUGUAAUCCAUUAAUGCUAUAUCUCUUCAUUGAGAUGAUUUAACAUAAGGGCAAACGACCUCAGUUUAUUCUAUCAGUGAUGUGUUUGCAUGUCAUAUGAAUAAAAUGUCAUUUGUUCCCGUUUAAAUAGUUGAUGGAUGCUAUCACAAUCAUGCUUGCAAAAAUUUCAUUUUUGCGUUUCGUGCUGUUAAUUUUUAAUUGGCAGCAGCAGAAAUGGCAUGUAUUUGAUUAACAAUGCGAUAGAUUUGGGAUGCCUUCGGGACCCGUCUUGAAACACGGACCAAGGAGUCUAACAUAUGUGCAAGUCAUUGAGUAUUUUGUUGAAACCUAAUGGCGCAAUUAAAAUGACUAUAUUUUUAAUUUGGGAUCACAAGUAAUGUUCAAAUUUAUGCAUUAUUUUUCAAUCCCGGGGCGUUCUAUACGAACAUGAUGUAAGCAAUUAUGUCCUCUGUUUAAGAGCGUACCUUGAGCACAUAUGCUGU